GCAUUGGUGGUUCAGUGGUAGAAAUCUUGCCUCCCAUGCGGGGGAGCCGUGUCCGAUUCCCGGCCAAUGCA
rfam:Danio rerio chromosome 4, GRCz11 reference primary assembly.